CCCAGCUACAGGUACCACCACCAGGUCACUCCCCCCAGCUACAGGUACCACCACCAGGUCACUCCCCCCAGCUACAGGUACCACCACCAGGUCACUCCCCCCAGCUACAGGUACCACCACCAGGUCACUCCCCCCAGCUACAGGUACCACCACCAGGUCACUCCCCCCAGCUACAGGUACCACC